rnacentral:rRNA from 1 species
AUUGAACGCUGGCGGCAUGCCGUACACAUGCAAGUCGAACGGUAACGGGCCUUCGGGUGCCGACGAGUGGCGCACGGGUGAGUAAUACAUCGGAACGUGCCCGAUCGUGGGGGAUAACGAGGCGAAAGCUUUGCUAAUACCGCAUACGAUCUACGGAUGAAAGCAGGGGACCGCAAGGCCUUGCGCGGACGGAGCGGCCGAUGGCAGAUUAGGUAGUUGGUGGGAUAAAAGCUUACCAAGCCGACGAUCUGUAGCUGGUCUGAGAGGAUGAUCAGCCACACUGGGACUGAGACACGGCCCAGACUCCUACGGGAGGCAGCAGUGGGGAAUUUUGGACAAUGGGCGCAAGCCUGAUCCAGCCAUGCCGCGUGCAGGAUGAAGGCCUUCGGGUUGUAAACUGCUUUUGUACGGAACGAAAAGCCUUCUUUUAAUACAGGAGGGUCAUGACGGUACCGUAAGAAUAAGCACCGGCUAACUACGUG